rnacentral:rRNA from 1 species
AACGAACGCUGGCGGCAGGCCUAACACAUGCAAGUCGAGCGAGGACUUCGGUUCUAGCGGCGGACGGGUGAGUAACGCGUGGGAAUGUGCCCUUCUCUACGGAAUAGCCCUGGGAAACUGGGAGUAAUACCGUAUACGCCCUAUGGGGGAAAGAUUUAUCGGAGAAGGAUCAGCCCGCGUUGGAUUAGGUAGUUGGUGGGGUAAUGGCCUACCAAGCCGACGAUCCAUAGCUGGUUUGAGAGGAUGAUCAGCCACACUGGGACUGAGACACGGCCCAGACUCCUACGGGAAGCAGCAGUGGGGAAUCUUAGACAAUGGGGGCAACCCUGAUCGAGCCAUGCCGCGUGAGUGAUGAAGGCCUUAGGGUUGUAAAGCUCUUUCAGCUGGGAAGAUAAUGACGGUACCAGCAGAAGAAGCCCCGGCUAACUACGUG